rnacentral:rRNA from 1 species
GACGAACGCUGGCGGCGUGCUUAACACAUGCAAGUCGAACGGAAAGGCCCUGCUUUUGUGGGGUGCUCGAGUGGCGAACGGGUGAGUAACACGUGAGUAACCUGCCCUUGACUUUGGGAUAACUUCAGGAAACUGGGGCUAAUACCGGAUAGGAGCUCCUGCUGCAUGGUGGGGGUUGGAAAGUUUCGGCGGUUGGGGAUGGACUCGCGGCUUAUCAGCUUGUUGGUGGGGUAGUGGCUUACCAAGGCUUUGACGGGUAGCCGGCCUGAGAGGGUGACCGGCCACAUUGGGACUGAGAUACGGCCCAGACUCCUACGGGAGGCAGCAGUGGGGAAUAUCGCACAAUGGGCGGAAGCCUGAUGCAGCAACGCCGCGUGCGGGAUGACGGCCUUCGGGUUGUAAACCGCUUUCGCCUGUGACGAAGCGUGAGUGACGGUAAUGGGUAAAGAAGCACCGGCUAACUACGUGCCAGCCGCCGCGGUAAUAC